rnacentral:lncRNA from 1 species
AGUCUGUACUGAUCCUGGGACUACAGCGUACCCGCACUAGAAGACCGCAUGUGUGAAAUCCUGAACCAGCGUCCAAAGCCUGUGGGAGAUGAGGUGGCUCGCAGAACCUUCCAGAAAUGCCAUAUAGGUUGGAAACAGUUCCUCUUUAGCGUCCUGUUCCCUUCUUGUAACAUCUGGUGCUGCUGAAGUCCACCUGAGAUACCUAAGAGUCAGACAUUGGCCUGUAUUAGCUCCAGGAUGAUGUGGUGAGGGUCGACGUAUUCUAAAAUCACAACCUCUAAAGACUCUCUUCUAUGAGACAUUUCACCUUAUUGGACCUGAAUUCUCUGCCGUGAGAACAACUGUUGUAGGGGGAGAUGUUGGCGUGAGGCGAGAGUGAGAAGACUGGAGCCUGGGUAACCUCGGCUGCUGACUUCUUCAUAUCCAGAAACAAACAUAAAGAUAAACCAGGAAAAUUAUCACCAAGCCACUGCUCAUUGAGUCCUUAGCCGCCUCCAUUCUCCACUAUCUUGGUGCCACUAAACUGUCCAUCUGCACUAAACUGCCUACUUAGUGACCAUAUGGACUGUGCUUCGUUUGAUACUGAAUCUUCAGAGCCUGCAGUAAUGUCUGGCAGACGAUUGUCACUCCAUAAAUGCAUUUGGAAAAGCACACACGCAUGCUUACCUAAUUAAAAUCUUCAUGAGCA